ensembl:lncRNA
CUGCUGAGUGUACUGCUGAGUGUACUACUACUGAGUGUACUGCUGAGUGAACUACUACUGAGUGUACUGCUGAGUUGUAUGCUGAGUGUACUACUGAGUGUACUACUACUGAGUGUACUACUACUGAGUGUACUGCUGAGUGUACUACUACUGAGUGUACUGCUGAGUGUACUACUGAGUGUACUACUACUGAGUGUACUGCUGAGUGAACUACUACUGAGUGUACUGCUGAGUGUACUACUGAGUGUACUACUACUGAGUGUACUGCUGAGUGUACUACUGAGUGUACUACUACUGAGUGUACUGCUGAGUGAACUACUACUGAGUGUACUGCUGAGUGAACUACUACUGAGUGUACUACUACUGAGUGUACUACUACUGAGUGUACUACUACUGAGUGUACUACUACUGAGUGUACUACUACUGAGUGUACUGCUACUGAGUGUACUACUACUGAGUGUACUACUACUGAGUGUACUACUACUGAGUGUACUACUACUGAGUGUACUACUGCUGAGUGUUCUACUACUGAGUGUACUGCUGAGUGAACUACUACUGAGUGUACUGCUGAGUGAACUACUACUGAGUGUACUACUACUGAGUGUACUACUACUGAGUGUACUGCUGAGUGUUCUACUACUGAGUGUACUGCUGAGUGUACUACUACUGAGUGUACUGCUGAGUGUACUACUACUGAGUGUACUGCUGAGUGUAAUACUGAGUGUAAUACUGUACUCCUAUUCCCGAAGUGGCAUUACAGAUUCUGACAGGGAAAAACUCCCACUAUGAAUAAACAGUAUCAUAGAUAGAUUAGAUUGUAAUAUGGUUCUUCUCUGUGAGGGAUUAGGUCCAGGCUUUGGUACUGUCUGGAUAAACCAAGCAGACCUGGGUUCAAAUAGUAUUUGUAAAAAAAAAAAAAAAGACAAGCUCAGGUCAAUCUUUCUUCUGAUCCAAGGAUGACCUAAAGCCAACUGCACCUCCGGGAGUCAUCACGAGCAACAACAAUACCACCAUGGGUGAAAGGA